GCUCCCGUGGUGUAACGGAUCGCACGAGUGGCUACGAACCACUUAGUCCAAGUUCAAAUCUUGGCGGGAGUACCA
rnacentral:tRNA from 1 species